rnacentral:rRNA from 1 species
GACGGGGGCCCGGCACAAGCGGUGGAGCAUGUGGUUUUAAUUCGAAGCAACGCGCAGAACCUUACCAGCUUUUGACAUGUCCGGUUUGAUCGACAGAGAUGUCUUUCUUCAGUUCGGCUGGCCGGAACACAGGUGCUGCAUGGCUGUCGUCAGCUCGUGUCGUGAGAUGUUGGGUUAAGUCCCGCAACGAGCGCAACCCUCGCCCCUAGUUGCCAUCAUUCAGUUGGGAACUCUAGGGGGACUGCCGGUGAUAAGCCGCGAGGAAGGUGGGGAUGACGUCAAGUCCUCAUGGCCCUUACAGGCUGGGCUACACACGUGCUACAAUGGCGGUGACAAUGGGCAGCGAAGGAGCGAUCCGGUGCUAAUCCCAAAAAGCCGUCUCAGUUCAGAUUGCACUCUGCAACUCGAGUGCAUGAAGGUGGAAUCGCUAGUAAUCGUGGAUCAGCAUGCCACGGUGAAUACGUUCCCGGGCCUU